CUUCUCACCGACUUCCCUCUCUGUUUUCAUCUCAGAAGGAAAGGGUCAGAGCAUUUCUUAGGUGAAACAAGGAGAGAGAAACCUAGAGAGAGAAACCUACAGCAACUCAAGACCACCGAUGAUGGUGCUUCGAAUUCUUCGAGUUUGAGGUUGUGGAAGACACUUUUUGGAUCAUCAUAUUCAUCAGGAGUGGUGAUUUCGCCCUUUUGAUUUUGACCUGAGAAAGGAAAAAAGAGGAGAAAACUGCUGCUGAAGAUACUUUGAAUGCUUACAAAGCUGCUCAGGUCUUGGUGAUGCACACAUCACGGCUCAAUAUGUAGGUCUUGGUGCGGUUGCUCGGGAUGAACUUGGGCAGCUGCUGUGGGCUGCUGUUCGAAGAGUGGCUGCGUAAUCAGAGGUGGAGGCAGCUGAAGCGGUGUGUUUUGGAAUGCAAAUUGCACAUAUGUUGGGCAUCUUGAACAUCUGGAUUGCUAAGAACAAACUUGUUCUUCAUCAUAUUCUUCUGGGUUUUAGCUUUUUCUGAAGAAUUUCUCACUGGAAAGGGAAUAAAAGGAAGGAUGUGGCUCCAAACCAUGCUGCUUCUUCAGGGAAAGGUCCUCCUAUCCUUGCUGUGGUAAUCCUUCUUGAAUUGCAACUAUACUUGCUAUGAUGUGUGCUACUUGGUUUUGCAGGAACAAAUUCAUCUUUGAAAACAUAACAUUGACCAUAGUGUAUACAACUAUGGGAUUUGUAAAAUAUGUUGAGGUGUAUGGCUCUUAUACACACAAAGUAUUCGUUAGAACUGCAGCUCAUGACUACCCUUCUGCAUCAGGUUGUUAGAAAAUUAGUUCUGACUAGCAGAGGAGUCAAGAACCCUCGCGUUACCAUCUUGAAACUGCUGCUCUUCGGUAACUUUUCAUGUAAAAAAGACGACUCCAAUAAUUGUUUAUUAAAAGAUUUAAUGAUUUCAGAAUUGAGCUAUUGUUUUAAAUUAUCUUCAAUGAUUACACCUUUAUAACACACUCUUGAUCCAAAAUGGACAGUCAUGUAUUACUUUAUUAUAUGAAGUAAAUUAUAAGCAGAGUGCUCAACGAUCCAUUUAAUUUCUUCUGUAGUUUAUGUAAUUGUGAACUUCAAAUCCUGUAUUAUACUACCUGUAUUAUACUAUUAUUAGACUUUAUGCUUUUGAUUAGGGAUCAGUAAAUGUAUAUGUUAAUAGAUAAAGCAGUGAGGUAUGCUUGCAAAAACAAGAUAACUAUCUGAAGUUAUAUGGUGCCACUACAAGUGUGAUAUCAAGAAUUCCUUAUUUUCAACUGAAAUAUUUGGUUUUGAUUAAUUGGAGUUCUGGUUUGACUCUUUCAGGUUAAUACUCUUAAGGUAGCAACUGCAGUUCAUUGCAUCAAGCAUAUAGCGAUGAAAAUUAUGACUUCAAAUGCAACAAAUCGCUUUUCUUUAUCUUGUCGUUUAGGCAAAACAAAAUGUGAGCUUCAUAAGUGUUUACAGAUAUAUAGUACGGAGUAAUGAUAUUGAGCUUCGUAGCUUUUUGGCUUGUUAUUUUACACAUUUUUAGAUCCAUAUUUUAAUCGAGAAUUUUCUUAGUAGACCCGGAAUUCUAUUUGUAAAUUAUCUUCUGAUCGUGUGCUUGGUAUAUUCUGAUUUGAUUCUUGUCAAAUUGGGCGAGUUAAUAUGUUCUUUUGGAUACAUGUAUAAUCUAAGAAUAUGAUCAAUUUGUUUUGUUCUGGAUAAUUUGGAGUGGAA